AUGGUGGUGAUGAUGGUCAAAGGAAGAGCCAAGGAGGCUAGCUUGGCCAUGGAAGCUCAAAGAGCAGAGGGAAUGGAAGUUUAGUCUGAGCUAAUUUGCCUUACCUACGGUCUUCGCCGCCUAGGUUCAGUCCGAACGAGGGGUUUGGAUUAGGGAAAUCUGGGUUCGUGGGGGUUGCUUCGUUGUCGCUUCUCUGGGUUUGUUGCUUCUUUGGGUUUGUUCUUCAAGGAACCUUGGGUUGCUUCAUUCUUUAGGGAAAAUUUUUCCACAUUGGCCCUACCAGCACAUAGAACUCGAAACUCUAAGACUUGAGUUAUUACAGUGAACUUAGACUCAAAAUGCUAAUUUCUUUAAUGGUUUGGAAAUAUUGCUAACUAACAAAAUUGUUAGCAAAAUGAUGUUAUUUUGCACACACAAAAAAAAAAAAAAUCCAAAUUUGUGUUUAGGUGACAUUUUUUUUACGGCAUAUCCAAAAAUGCCAAUUGACUACAAUGGUUUUUGAGUGGAAUUUAUGGUAUGUCUUUGUGUUAAAAUUCAUUUUCCGUCUCCCUUGUGCAUGUGUGUUUGUUUCUCUAUAUAUAACACAUGGUAGUAUUUAAGUUGUCUGCUUAUGUCAUUUAAAUUAAAUAUCAACACGUGUUAAUGUGUAAUUAGCCCUUAGCUCUUCUUUAUAAUUUCUAUUCAAUGACACUUAGGAUAUUUUCUUUGGUCUUUGAAUAAUUACGGUGGGACCCACUAAAUGACAUGUGGUAUCUUGUGAUUGGUUGAAACAAACGAAUAGGAAAAUACUACAUAUAUAUUUCCCAACAUAAACUUUAAAAAAAAAAAAAUCAUACACAGAUCAAUAAAAUAGUAUGUGAAUAUUAAUGCAUAACAUAAAAUUAUUUAUAAACAUACACUAAAUAAGUUUAAUUAUAUGUUUAUUAAUUAUGUUUUAACAUAUUUGUAAUAUUACACAAAGUUCUGUAAUGACAAUAUAGAAUAUCAAAAUAUACGUAUUCAUGAAAUAUAUAAUUUAAUAUACAUGUAAUAUCAAUAAGAUUAUAAUUUUAACAAAUCAAAUGAAUGAUUGUUCUCUUCUAACAAAAAAAGAUUUAUGAUUGCUUAAAAUAUUAGAAUUUCAAUAUAUAAUUGCAACAUACAUGAACAAAAUUUUGGUUGAGUUUUACUCCCAAUCAAAUAUCUCUUCUCCUCUCUCAUUGUUGCCUUUAAUUUUAUCAUUGUUGUUAUUGAAAAGAACACCUAUUUACAAAAAAUUGUAUCAUUGUGUUAAUGAAAGUGACUACCUAGUACAUGAGAGAUCUGUUAAAGUGUCAUUACAAUCAAAUAAUAAAAACAAAAAAUUGAAAAUGUUAGUCUAAUAUAUGAGAGGUCAGUUGGAUUGUAUUUGUAAGGACAACAAUAACGAAAACUUGAAAAUGGUCAAAUAUGAGAGGUCAGCUGCAUCGUACUUGUAAUAUAAUAAGAAAGAAUAGCCUUUAUAACAAUCUGGUUGCAUCGUACUUGUUACAAGAUAAUGAAAAAUAUUAUUUAAUAAUACUUUAAGAUUAAGUUACAUUGAAUCCAAUUUUCUUAUGGAGGGUAAAAAGGAAAUAAAAUAUUUGUUAAGCGUAUAAAUGGUUCUUUAAGAAACAUUAAUGGUUUUUCAUGAUUAUAUGACACCAAGUAAGUACCUUUUUAUUAAUUAAAAAAAAAAAAAAAGAGUAAGUAGCCUUUUAGAUUUUAUACAUCGACUGAGUAUUUAAACAUUAAGCUAUGUUUAAAGUUUAAAACAUAAUACAAACAAAACUAUAAUUAAAAGUGUGGGGCCCCAAAACGAGCUUAUGGGCUUAACUCGCUCGUGGGCUCACAAAGUAUUUGUAAUGUGAGCUUGAGUUUCCUACCUUGGGCAAUUCUUGUCCAGAGAGCCAACUGAGCCUUCCCAACCCCAGUGUUGUUUCCUUCUCACUCCUUUCUACUCUCAACUUUCUUUAGAACCUUCUCCACCCCCUCAAAUCCUUCCCCAGUUUCUCUUUUUAUAGCAUUCUGAUUAGUGGGGUGCUAUGAUUACUUUUGCAGUUAGUGGUUUUAAGGGUCCAAUGCAAUUAUCCUUAGGUGGAUGUUUGGUGGGAGUGGCUUUGGAACUAGUUCCUAUUGGAGGUGGAUGCUCGGCAGCGAUAUCUUUCGAGGCUUUAUUGGGCAUCUGAGAUACAGUUUUACCGUGCAUUUGCACUUUGUUUGAGAUGAGAUUUACCGGGCACGUUGCAUCGUCGCAGGGUAAUGAGUGAAUAUUUGAACAAUUAGCCAACAGGUUCUGGGCUAAACAUGAGGUCACGGGGCAUGCCUUCGUGCCCCUAGUGGGCCUCAAGCCCAGCUUCUGACAGGGGAGUUGGUAACCAUGGGCCAUUUCGCAGAAUUUUGGCCCAAGGUCUAGAUGGUCCUGAGGGCCCGGUGCCGUACAUUAGCCCCCCCUUGAUUUGUGCUCAGCGAACAAGGACGAAUCAAGGAAUCCAAGACAUAGUUUCCGUUCGGGAAACCCAAUCGGCAUGCAUUAGGUGGUUGAGAGGUUAAUUAAUGCGCCUUCAAAAGAUGUGUCAUGUCUGACGGUUAGUUCUACCGCCAUCAUUACCUGACGGUUCACGAACAAAGGCAAUGCGCGUGUGUGACGGUUGCGAUGGGACUCGUAGAGUUUCCCACGCCUCAUUUAUUGAGUGGCAUUUACUCUCUCCCCUCUGGCCUCUAUAUAUACUUUGUUCUGAAUUGCCUCUCCACUUUUUCAUUCUCCACUUUCUGAGUUCUCUCUUCUGCUAUGCAUCUGUUUGCACACUUAUUCAUCAAUCCAGAGCCUCUUUCUUCCCCUUAGUCCCAAAGUAAGUACUCUACCUUCUUCUGUUACUUCAAUUUCUUUCUUCAAAUUUCUUCCUUCUCAUUUAGAGUUUUAGAAUGGGUUACACUCACCUUUUGAAUACUGAGGCGUCCUUAGCCAUUUUUAGGCAAAAGUUUAGCAUCUCCAAUGAUGUGGAGGUGGCGUACUACCACAAGAGUGAAUUUGAUCUCCAUAAAGGGGCCAACACUGCUUUCUUCCCUUUAAUGUCGAUCUUGGAGGGCGGGGUUAGGUUUCAUGUGGACCCGCUUUUACUCAAUACCCUUAGAUACUAUGGGCUGUACCCUGACCAACUUCCCCCCAAUUUUUACCAGGUAGUUAGUUGUGUCAGUAGGUUAAAUCAAUUGUUCGGUUUACAAUUAGACCACCACGACAUAAACCAUAUGUACAGUCUAUAUGGGAAUAAAAACUCUAAUUACUAUCUAAAGGUUAGAGAUAUGAGGGUAUGGCUCAUUUUAUGCCUACCUAACUCCAAUAGGAACUCUGCCGGGGAGUUCAUCCGGGUGCGUGGCAACUGGUUUGCCGGUGAAAUCCCCAACCCCAUUUCACGGCGCAAAGUGGGUUCAUACCACUCUCUAACUUGUCUGUAAUCUUUUCUUACGGCUAUUUUACUUACCUGAAUAUUGACUUACAGUAGUUUUAUUUGCAGAAGGAAAAUUGUUUACCCCGGAUAUUAGGGUUGUUCACAUCAGGGACCUGAACUUCAUACUAAGGUUCGAAGUUUUUGUUCAUACAGAUGGAUAGCUCCGAGCAUCCCAUCUUAUACUUGGUUGCACCCCCGUGUAUAAAACUUGGCAACCCUUCAGCCAAGCCCUAACGGUUGACAGCCCAUUGCUAUCUUACAUCGACGUCCGGCACGCCAACUUCCUCCCACCUAAAUUGACUACCGGGGAAGCCCAAUACUACGGUCCUAAUUACAUAACUGCGGAAGAUCUUGCCCCGGUUAGGGACGAAUCAGCCAAACGUGUUUCCCAGGCUUUGCGGGAACAAGCGCAUGCUUUCGUUGAAGGCCAGGCAAAAGCAGUAAAAGAACAAGCAGCUGAGCAAAGAGUAGUUGCAAACGAAGAAGAAGAAGCAGAGAUGGUUACCAGAAGGAAGCUUACAACCGAUCGGUUCCUGUCCGGGUCACGACUUUCGGUCCAGCCUCAGUAAGCCUGCCUAACGGACCGCACCCCUUAUCCUUCUCCUCCUUCUGGCCGGCAGAAAAAGAAGUAGCAUUUAGACGAUCCACCGGUCAGAACCACGAGUGAGGCACCCACUAAGACUCCCCCCCUCCCGUCCCUCCUAUGGGAUUGUAACCCGGGAACCAGUGGACGGUACCCAACCCACAGCUCCAAGCAGCACUGAAGUCACCUCUUCUUUACGAGCCGCGCUAAUCUGGCAGCCUUCUUUUGUGCUUGGUGGUGAGCCUUUGCCAGCCACAGCGGGCGUGAAAAUGUGGGCUCAAGGUAAAAAGGGAGAGUGGCUGAAAGUUUGGUGAGUGGUUUGCUAUUGCCUGAAGAUGUGCAGUUAUAGUCUGAAGGCUCCGAGUGCUCUAUUGUACGGUGGCUAGAGUGGCAUUCUAUCGCGGUAAGCUCUUCUACUCCGCUUUUCAUUCACUUCGUUGUAUGAACAAUUCCCCUCCUCUUCUUUCUUUUCCUUACAAUUUCCUAAUUUGGACUUGGUGAUAUUGUCAGGCUGCGCAGCUUACUCAUAUACUCGGCGAGAGGGCGAGCGAGCUUGCUGAAGAUGCCGAACGAGAGAAGGCGCUUAAGGAUGUUGCCAAUGACACGGCCCGAGACAAGGUUAAGGAAGCUGAGAUGGCAGAACAAAAGGUUCAAUCUUCAGAGACAGCUCAGCAACUAGCUGAGAAAAGGUUGGUUGACAUGGAGGGGAGACUGGGAGAAGCCGAGCUGAAGUUGGCGAAGGCUGAAAGCCUAAACUUGGCCCAUGCUGAAGAAGUUACCAAGCUUAGAGCUGCUUUAGAGGCCUGUGAAGCCAAGUGGUAUGAUGAAGGGUUCGUGGAUGCUGAGAACUCUGUAAAGCCUAUCGUUCUCCAAACUCGGGCCCAGGGGUUUGGGAAGGGCUAGUUGGCUGUCCUUCAAGCAAUAGGGGUUCCCAGAGACUCGCAAUUAUGGAAUACGAAAAAGAUCCCCCACCCUACUGUUACUCUCCCGGUCUAGAGUCAGGUCGAAGCCACCGAUGACAAAGAUACUUCCAAUAUGAGGGCACUAGUAGAAGCUAUUGACGCUCAUGCAGAGAAUCCUAAUACGGAGGUUACCAGGAACCUCAAUGCCCCGGGCAAUGAUGAGACCCAAAGACCAACAAUCGAGGAUGUCAUGGGACAAACUACAGACAAUAUGGUUUAG
rnacentral:sRNA from 1 species